CAGGCAGUCAUCACAGUACUUGGUCAACAGGUACUUAUUUGUAAGGGGGUCUCAUCUCCAUUGCAAUGCGGCUUAGCGUCUUGGAAACAGUGGAGCAUAUAAAGACAAACUGGAACCUUAUAUGGAACAGCUGGAAAAACAAGGUGUCUGGAAAAAGAUGGAGCGGCGCGUGGUCCAUAAUUACUAUUUCGAAGAAGAUGGCUUACUACUCACCUACCGCAAGGCUUGAGGGAGAAGAAACCAUUACAUAAGAUGACAAAUGCUCUAUAGAAUUCUGCACUGUACUUGGAUUAUAUAGAUACGGUCAAAGUUUGAUGAUAAUGAUGGAUAUGACUGUAUUUUAUUACGUAAUUAGAAAAGGCUUCAAAGAGCAACAUGUCAACAAAGAUCGAGGAAUUUGAUAAGAAAUACAUGAAAUUCUACAUUAUUACAUUCAUAGAAGUAUCUAAAACAUAUAUUCUGAUUAAAAUUGAAGUUAAA